rnacentral:lncRNA from 1 species
UGGACCGAAGGAGUUGCAGAAGAGGCAAGAUAGUGGAAUUUCCAUAGUGGCAAAACAUGGGGAACACGACAGAGGGAAAGAUGAAGAGCCUUAUCUGACUGUGCCACUCUUAAGCAGAUGGCUGAAACAUGGAGCAGUGGAACAAGAAACUUGCAACAUGGGCUGAAGUUUGCCAAGGGGACAAAUGAGUGUUUCGAAAUAAGUAAAAUAUCGGCCUUCAGCUCUAGGGCCCCCAGCACAAGAAGGAUGUGGACCUGCUCUGUUGAGUCUAAAACAGGGCCAUGAAGAUGAUCAGAGGGCAGCAGCACCUCUCCUAUGAAGACAGAUGGAGAGAACUGGGAUUGUUCAGCCUGGAGAAGAGAAGGCUCUGGGAAGACCUUGGAGCACCUUUCAGUACCUAAACAGGUCCUCUGCUCCUUGCUGAUCCUCGGCUGUGCCCGUGACCUUUUUUCACCCAUCCUCAAAAUCUCCCCAAAGAGUUCUGGCAUUUUCCCUUCCUUGACUGGUUGAGCAGCGCAAUGGGUUUGUGAGGAAUGUAUGUCUGACGUAGACACAUGCCAGCACAAAAACUGAGGAGAGGAAAGCUGAGCAAAAGAAAACAAGUGAACAAAGCAUCUUGAACAGACAGAAGAAAAAAAGAGGCAUUUAAUUUUUUAAGUAAGAGACCCCAGGGGCAGAGGUGUCUGAGUGUCUGCAGGACAUCCACAUUUGGGGGCAACAUAGCUACAGUGAGAGUGGGAACACUGGCUCAGCUGAGCACUUCCUAAGAAUCCAUGUACUGCAUUUCCGUGUGGAGGGGUGUUUCCCAAACUACAGCAGAGAAUAUUUCAGGAUCCCUCUUGGCUCAAGUGUGUGCUGUGCUAUACAAUCUUUCACAGCCUGACUACUUGCAAAUUCCCUGCAGGGCCAGAGCUGCAGGUACGUGGUAAGGUGAGUGAGCACAGUGAAAGAACUGCUGCUGGUACUCGCUUGCCUGAGCCUCUCUCAACUUUGAUAGGUGUGUAAUGAAUGAGCAGAACUGAAGGCAUAGGAAGGACACUCAUUCUGCAUAUUUUUCCCCCAGAACACUUAUUUACUUUAACAAGCAGAUGUGACCAGGGCAGACCUUGUUCUUCCAGCAUUAAAAUUGAAUUAAAAGGCUCCUAAUUUAGAGGGAUGUUCUAAUGGCAGCAAUAAAAACUUAUUUCAAGUUUUUUAA